rnacentral:rRNA from 1 species
AUUGAACGCUGGCGGCAGGCCUAACACAUGCAAGUCGAGCGAGCGGCGGACGGGUGAGUAAUGUCUGGGAAACUGCCUGAUGGAGGGGGAUAACUACUGGAAACGGUAGCUAAUACCGCAUACCAUCAGAUGUGCCCAGAUGGGAUUAGCUAGUAGGUGGGGUAACGGCUCACCUAGGCGACGAUCCCUAGCUGGUCUGAUAGGAUGACCCGCCACGAUGGCACUGAGACACGGUCCAGACACCUACGGGAGGCAGCAGUGGGGAAGAUUGCACAAUGGGCGCAAGCCUGAUGCAGCCAUGCCGCGUGUGUGAAGAAGGCCUUCGGGUUAUAAAGCACUUCAAGCGGAGAGGCGUUACCCGCAGGAGAAGCACCGACUAACACCGUGCCAGCAGCGGCGGUAAUAC